rnacentral:rRNA from 1 species
GGAUUGAACGCUGGCGGCAUGCCUAACACAUGCAAGUCGAACGGGAGUAGCAAUACUCUAGUGGCGGACGGGUGAGGAAUACGUAGGAAUUUGCCCUUAAGUGGGGGAUAACCCGGGGAAACCCGGAUUAAUACCGCAUGACCUCGAAAGAGCAAAGUGGGGGAUCGCAAGACCUCACGCUUUUGGAGAAGCCUACGUCGGAUUAGCUAGUUGGUGAGGUAAUGGCUCACCAAGGCGACGAUCCGUAACUGGUCUGAGAGGAUGAUCAGUCACACCGGACUGAGACGACGGUCCGGACU